rnacentral:rRNA from 1 species
GGCGGACGGGUGAGUAACGCGUAAGAACUUGCCCUUUAGACUGGGAUAACAGAGGGAAACUUCUGAUAAUACUGGAUAAGUUGGUAUAUCGCAUGAUAUGCAAAUGAAAGCUACGGCACUAAAGGAGAGCUUUGCGUCCUAUUAGCUAGUUGGUAAGGUAAGAGCUUACCAAGGCGAUGAUAGGUAGCCGGCCUGAGAGGGUGGACGGCCACAAGGGGACUGAGAUACGGCCCUUACUCCUACGGGAGGCAGCAGAC